GAUGAAGAACGUAGCGAAAUGCGAUAAGUAAUGUGAAUUGCAGAAUUCAGUGAAUCAUCGAAUCUUUGAACGCAUCUUGCGCUCCUUGGUAUUCUGAGGAGCAUGCCUGUUUGAGUGUCAUUAAAUUCUCAACUACACUGACUUUGAAUUGGUGUGGCUUGGAUUUGGGAGGAAAAUUGUUGUGGGCUUUUUGUAUAGUCUGCUCCCCUGAAAUUGAUUAGCGGUACCUUUGUGGAACUGUCUACAGGUGUGAUAAUUAUCUACAUCUUAGACAUCUGCUGGAAUGCUGCUUUCUAAACCUUACUUGUAUUGACAAUCUUGACCUCAAAUCAGGUAGGACUACCCGCUGAACUUAAGCAUAUCAAUAAGCGGAGGA
rnacentral:misc_RNA from 1 species